rnacentral:lncRNA from 1 species
GUGCAGAAGCAGUUAGGUGAAAAACAUCUAUUAGGUCCUACUAUGUGCAAGGCAUUCUGCUAAGUCCUCAGCGUACAAGGUCAAGCAAAAUGACAGGUGCUGGUCUUGAGAUCACAGUGUAAUGGGGGAGGCAACAUGCAACAAUAGAUGCCAACAAGCUAUGCAUUAUUCAGAAAAAUUUAAAUAAUUAGCAAAUAGAAUGUCCUAGAACCAAAGAGGAUCAGAAAAGACUUCCUGAAGAAGUUGGGAUUUGAAGGAAGCCAGGGAUAAUGAAAAAGUAUCAGUCAUGGUAGAAGGUAGUGUGACAGGCUGGCACUAAAGAAAAAGUGCCAGGCUGAAGAGUGGGUGAAACUGAUCACUUUGAUGGGGGAGGGGCCUGAAGGGAUUGGAAUCUUGAGAAGACUCUAGCUAGUAGAGGAGUUGGUCUCUCAGUCUUGAGAAGCCAAAGAGAGAAAGUUGAAAAAGACUUUCUCCUGCGGGUUACUCACUUUUUCCUGCUUGUGACUGGAAAUCUUUCCCCCCAACAUUCCCCAAUUGAAAAAGACUAUUGAAGAGGAAAACAGAGAAAGACUUUUUAAAACUCUAUAUGACUUUAUUUCAGUUCCUGUUGCCCUGAGUCUGAACUGUGACAGAGGGUCCAAACCCAGGGUACACUUCUGGAAUUUUAAUUUGGUGAACAUUGGACAUAAGGAACUUGGAUUUGUUGUCAUUUUGUGAUUCAAAUAUCUAUAUUAUAUAGAUAUAAAUCUUGAUUGUAAUGCAUUAUUUAACUGGAAAAACUGAUGUAAGGAAGAAGAUAAGACAACCUCAGUAAAUCUGAACUGAGUUUAGCCUCUACUAUAUGCCACCUAUAAAAUAAUUUUUUCUCAUCUCUGCCAUGUUUGCUAUUGCGGCCUCAAACAUUAUGCAGCCAGUGGUGUAUCACAUAGAUUUCUUCUUUGCCUUUUAAGGAGGUCUAUAAGAGUAUAUCCUAACAUGGUCACUCAAAGCUGACUUACAGAAUAACUACUUUAGUCUUAAGUAGGCACAUCAGAUUUUUCAUCCAUGCAUGUCUCUUAUAUGGCACUCCAGUUAUAAGUAGCAUUCAAUAAAGAGAUACAAAUAGCUUUCUCUGUGGUCGAG